AUACGUAGGGAGCAAGCGUUGUCCGGAAUUACUGGGCGUAAAGGGUGCGUAGGCGGUUUUUUAAGUCAUAUGUGAAAUACCCGGGCUUAACCCGGGGGCUGCAUGUGAUACUGGAGAACUUGAGUGCAGGAGAGGAAAGUGGAAUUCCUAGUGUAGCGGUGAAAUGCGUAGAUAUUAGGAGGAACACCUGUGGCGAAGGCGACUUUCUGGACUGUAACUGACGCUGAGGCACGAAAGCGUGGGGAGCAAACAGGAUUAGAUACCCUGGUAGUCCACGCCGUAAACGAUGGAUACUAGGUGUGGGGGCCAUAAGGUCUCCGUGCCGCAGCAAACGCAUUAAGUAUCCCGCCUGGGGAGUACGACCGCAAGGUUGAA
rnacentral:rRNA from 1 species